rnacentral:rRNA from 1 species
UUUAUUGGAGAGUUUGAUCCUGGCUCAGGAUGAACGCUGGCGGCGUGCCUAAUACAUGCAAGUCGAGCGAAUGGAUUGAGAGCUUGCUCUCAAG